rnacentral:rRNA from 1 species
UUAAUUUGACUGAGAAUGGGGAAACUUACCAGGUCCAAACAUAGUUAGGAUUGAUAGACUAAGAGCUCUUUCUAUUAAAUGUAAAUAUCAUUGAUA